rnacentral:rRNA from 1 species
UACGUAGGGGGCAAGCGUUGUCCGGAAUCAUUGGGCGUAAAGAGCGUGUAGGCGGCCAGAUAAGUCCGCUGUGAAAUCUCGAGGCUCAACUUCGAGCUGUCGGUGGAAACUGUCUGGCUAGAGUCCGGAAGAGGAGAAUGGAAUUCCUGGUGUAGCGGUGAAAUGCGCAGAUAUCAGGAGGAACACCGGUGGCGAAGGCGGUUCUCUGGGCAUUACCUGACGCUGAGGAGCGAAAGUGUGGGGAGCGAACAGG